UAUGUUCUAACCACAUGUUUUUAACAUAAAAUCCAGAUGCAACUCUCAUGUUUUCUGAUGUCAUUGUCUAGAGUAUGUCUUCAAGAAUACUUUCUAGAUUCGCGAUUAAACAUCCCGUCAGCGCAUAACUAAUGAAAAAAAACGUUCAUCCUGGAUCCUCUUUCUGUUUCAAAAUGUUUGAUGGAAACUGAUUUAACACAAAUUCAGUUCUUUAGAUCAAAUCCUGAUGAAGUAAAAUUUGCACUUAUUUUCUUUAGAUCAUCUUCUAGAUAAUUGGUAUAGUGAAUUACGCUAGUGAGGAUGUUGAUUUCAUAGUUUUGUUACUCAUACUAUAUACUUAGGUUGCCUUAGGAGAGUUCUCCACACAUGUAACUUGCCUAUCAAGUUUCUAUAUUUUGUAGGUUAUGUGAAUGGAUUUUGACCCCUAUUAGGCGUCCGCAAUUGUUGCUUCAAUGAUGUUAAAACCUUUUCUUGGUUUAGCUUUGGGCCAUUAACCUGUAUAGUUGAAACCACAGGUGGGUCAAUACCUUAUUCAGUUUUCUUAGUGAUUCAUAGUAAUAUUUGAAGCACACAAUUCAAGGAAUUCUUGGACAACUGAUGAAAAUGAAAAUCUAGGUGAUGAAAAAGUAGGUGUUACUGAGAUCACCAAUUACAAUAUCAGCUUAUACUAUAGUUUUGCGGAAAAGUUCUUAAGCGGUAGUUUCAAUUUCAUUGGAAGGAAGAUUGUUUUUUAUUUAAAGAACAAUAAUCAGCAGAACUUCUUACGAAAUAUUCCUUGGAUGCCAAAUGGUCUCCUCCUCUCCGUCUCUCUCAUUUCACAAAUUACCUUUUGGCAGUUCUAUAUUUAUGAGAAGUUGUUGCAUCUUCAGCUUCAGAAAUACCGUAAUGAACAUUAUAAUUUUUGAACUAUCAUCCGCAGAUCCAAUAUGCAUUAGUUCAGAUUGGUUCACCCAUUAUUCGGUGUUCGUGAUAUGUAGCUCACCCUUGUGAUAAAUGAAUUACGACAUCCUUUUCAUAUUGCUUCAGUUGUAGAUCUACAAGGAUAUAAAAAAAAUUGUAUUUCUUUGUGCGCGUACGCCAUCAACUUCUUAUCUUGCAGUGCCAAUCAGAGAAGAGAUUCUAAACAGCAAAUCAAUAGUGAAGCUCCAGCUAACCAUUGGACUAUAAUGCUACAUUAAUAUGAAAUUUCUUGUGCGUUUUGGCUGGGUUUCACGUUAGGAUGUAUACUAUCUGAUUAAUAUCUGUGGAUUCCUUUUAUAUUGGAGAGUUAAAGAAUCUUAGGAACGUUGUUGCUGAGGCAAAGGCCAAAGAGGUUAAAGUAGUCUCUGCUGUGGUCAAGCGUAUAUUAGAUAAGAACAUGUUUCUUUUUGGUUUUGUGGAUGUGAAUGAAAGCUCUGCAGCAGAGAGAUUAGACGAACUGACAGGAGUACAAAA